rnacentral:rRNA from 1 species
GAUGAACGCUAGCGGGAGGCCUAACACAUGCAAGCCGAGCGGUAGAGAUCUUUCGGGCUCUUGAGAGCGGCGUACGGGUGCGGAACACGUGUGCAACCUGCCUUUAUCAGGGGGAUAGCCUUUCGAAAGGAAGAUUAAUACCCCAUAAUAUAUUGAAUGGCAUCAUUUGAUAUUGAAAACUCCGGUGGAUAGAGAUGGGCACGCGCAAGAUUAGAUAGUUGGUAGGGUAACGGCCUACCAAGUCAGUGAUCUUUAGGGGGCCUGAGAGGGUGAUCCCCCACACUGGUACUGAGACACGGACCAGACUCCUACGGGAGGCAGCAGUGAGGAAUAUUGGACAAUGGGUGAGAGCCUGAUCCAGCCAUCCCGCGUGAAGGACGACGGCCCUAUGGGUUGUAAACUUCUUUUGUAUAGGGAUAAACCUUUCCACGUGUGGAAAGCUGAAGGUACCAUACGAAUAAGCACCGGCUAACUCCGUG